rnacentral:rRNA from 1 species
AACGAACGCUGGCGGCAUGCCUAACACAUGCAAGUCGAACGAGAACUUCGGGUAUUUUUGCGAACGGGUGGGUCAGGCGAGGGAAGAGUAACUUGGGUUGGGUCUAACUUCCAGCAGGGGGUGAUAAUACGAGAUGAUGUCUUCGACCCCACGAUUUCUCGACUCGGGAUGGGUACGCGUUGGAUUAGCUAGUUGGUAGGGUAAAAGCCUACCAAGGCGACGAUCCAUAGCUGGUCUGGGAGGAUGAUCAGACACCCUGGGACUGAGACCCGGCCCAGACUCUUACGGGAGGCAGCAGGUGGGAACAUUCGACGACGGGUGAGAGCCUGAGCUAUCAAGGCCGUGUAAGUCAGUAAGUCCUUAGGAUUGUAAAGCACUGUGAACCGCGAUGAUAAUGACGGUACCGGGAGAAUAAGCUCCGGCUAACUCCGUG